rnacentral:lncRNA from 1 species
GGUCUCGGGAUUUGUGUUGAUUUGUAAAGGCGUUCAAUUUUUAUCUUUCGUGGUUUUUUUAGAUAUGCAAAAUAGGAGAGGAAUCCAUGACCACCUUUUUUUUUUUUUUUUUUUGCUGUUGGAAGGUUUUUCUGUACAAGCAAAAAUUAUUAUUGACUUUGCUGUCAGCAUCAAGAGAUGUAUUUUACUCCCUCCAGGAAGAGACCAUUUGACUUUGACCUUACUUUUGCUAAUUCUUCUCUUCCAGUCCUUAACCUCUACCAUUUAGGGGCUUAACCGUGGACCUUCAGCAAAGCCUGUGGCCUUUGUAGACCUUUGUAGGUCUUUGUGAGUGGUGGUGAGAAAUCCCUGUCCAUUUCUUGUUCCCUUUUACCUUGGUAUUUUAGAGAUAUCUGCAGAGCAACGUGGCAGAAAGCAGUAUAACCUGUCUGAUAAGUAGUCCUGUCUAAACAGAGGAAGGCCAAUAAGGCCCUGCUCUGGCACUGCCGGCCUCAGAGGAGCCAAUUGUGUGCACAAAGGGUACAAGUCAGUGAGGCUUUUGGGGAGAGUAGUGCUCACAGUCCAGGAGAGAGCUGAGUUCAAUAGCAUCAGGACUCUGAUGAGGUGGGCCUGUUGCUGUGUGAACAUCUGACAGUUGUCCCCACUCUACUAACCUGUGACCUCAUCUGGCUCCUUUAGAUUUCUUCCUGUAGCUGCAGACAGUGGUGUUGGCAACUCUUCGGUGCAGAAUGUGGGCGGUUUUCGGUUUCCCCCUUUUGCUCCGAAGAAUUCAGCCAUGGACACCUAAUGGAAGUAUAAGGAAAAAAAGCCCUACUGUGGUCUGCUGGCACCUCAGUAGGCUGUCAUUUGCUUUCCUCAGACAAUUCCUUUCCAGUGCUCUAGUUACAUACCCGCUGGUAUCCUGAGGAGAGCCUUUCCCCAAGUGUGUACAGACACAUUGGCUCUGUCCUGUGAGUGAGUGUCUCCUGGAUGCGAGCCCUUCUGAACUUCAUGUUCUUUCUCUCCCCUUCUAGAUCUGGCCCCUAGUGUCCUUGAGACCCACUAAAGAGGAGAGUAGAGAGACUGCCCUUCACAAUACUGCAUUUUAAAAGUGGGAAGCACUGCAAGGGAGAAGUGAUUUUAACUAUGGGUUUUUCUGUGGCGGUAUCUCCCUAUUACAAUAAAAAAGUCAUGAAUAAAUCUAAAGAGGCAGGUUUUGGUCUUUAGGAAGCAAUGAUGAAUGAAAACAAAAAAUAUGCAUAUAUAAUGUAUUGCCAACACCUUCAGCAACAUUUAAU